rnacentral:pre_miRNA from 1 species
UGGACAAAUUACUGUAUUCGACUGUAUUCACGGCGUAAAACAGGGGCUUACACUAUUUUUAAACGGAAAGUGUAUCAAUUAACAUAAUCGAUACCU